rnacentral:rRNA from 1 species
CGUGCUUAACACAUGCAAGUCGAGCGAGAAAGUCGACUUCGGUCGAUGAGUAAAGCGGCGAACGGGUGAGUAACACGUGGGUAACCUGCCUAGAAGUGGGGGAUAACCUGGGGAAACUCGGGCUAAUACCGCAUACGACCGCGGCACUGCGGUGCUGUGAGGAAAGCUGGUCAAUGCUUGCAAACUGGCGCGUUUUAGAGGGGCCCGCGCCCGAUUAGGUAGUUGGUGAGGUAACGGCUCACCAAGCCGACGAUCGGUAGCCGGCCUGAGAGGGCGAUCGGCCACACUGGGACUGAGACACGGCCCAGACUCCUACGGGAGGCAGCAGUGGGGAAUAUUGGACAAUGGGGGCAACCCUGAUCCAGCAACGCCGUGUGGAGGACGAAGGUUUUCGGAUCGUAAACUCCUGUCAGUUGGGACGAAAAGCUGUCGGUCAAUAGCCGGCAGUCAUGACGGUACCAGCAGAGGAAGCCCCGGCUAACUCCGUG